rnacentral:rRNA from 1 species
AGCGAACGCUGGCGGCAGGCUUAACACAUGCAAGUCGAGCGGGCACUUUCGGGUGUCAGCGGCGGACGGGUGAGUAACGCGUGGGAACGUGCCCUCUGGUUCGGAAUAACUCAGGGAAACUUGAGCUAAUACCGGAUACGCCCUUUUGGGGAAAGGCUUGCUGCCGGAGGAUCGGCCCGCGUCUGAUUAGCUAGUUGGUGAGGUAACGGCUCACCAAGGCGACGAUCAGUAGCUGGUCUGAGAGGAUGAUCAGCCACACUGGGACUGAGACACGGCCCAGACUCCUACGGGAGGCAGCAGUGGGGAAUAUUGGACAAUGGGCGCAAGCCUGAUCCAGCCAUGCCGCGUGAGUGAUCAAGGCCUUAGGGUUGUAAAGCCCUUUUAUCCGGGACGAUAAUGACGGUACCGGAGGAAUAAGCCCCGGCUAACUUCGUG